rnacentral:lncRNA from 1 species
AGUUUAAAGCUGCAGAUAAAAGCUAUACAAGCACUUUAGAAGUCAGAAACAUUAAAAAAACUAUUUACAGUUUUCUUCUUUAGUUCAUAUGUCUACAAAGCCAGCGCACAUUACACUUCACAAAAAUCCACAGUUAAUGAUAUCAACGUGUGUGUGGCUAAAGCUUGUGACCUAGGGACUGCAAAUGCAGGGGCAGUAAGAGUAAAAUAGGUUUUGUCUUUCUUUUUUUUUUUUUUUUUAAGCAACCCCAUUUGUGCACUAACAGCUUUGUUCAGUCUCAAGCUUUAUAUUAAAAGCAUUCUUCAAAGCUUUCACCUGGAAGGCUGACAACUACAUGCUCACUCAUCGCCUUUCCCUUUUGGAAGUUCUGCGACGCACAUUGAUUGUGGAAACUUCCUCUUCUUCCAUUACUUCUUCCUGGGGAACAUCAUCACUGACAGGUGAACUACUCUGAAAUACAUCCAUCUCUUCGCUGGAUUCAUUCUCCUUACUAGCUGCUUGUUUCGAACGUCCCGCACGGACUUUUUUUUGCUGUGAUGGUGGUGUUUUUGAUGACCUUCCUCGUCUGUUCUGUGGCGUAGACUGUGCUGAUUCAACUGUACUAGAUUCAGAUGGCUCUGCUCUCUGCUGUGUUCUUUUUGUCGACCUGUUUUGCCUGCCUUUUGGCUUUUGUUCAAUGUUUUCAGUUUGCCUUUCUUCUUCCUCUUCUUCCUCCUCUACUGCCGCUGCUGACGUUUGUUUUUUUUUGCUCCUUUUUGAUGACUUUGCUGCUGGUUCUUCCUUUGGUGUUCCCCCAUUAUUUGGUUUGGGAGGGCGUCCUCUUCUCCCUUUCUUUGGCGGACUGUUCUGUUCAUCCUCACUUUCUAUUACAUCUUCUUUUAGCCUUUUUUCCUCUUGCCAUUGUGUUUCAUCAGACUCUGAAACAACUGCAGGUCUCUUCCUUCCCCGUUGACUGCCUCUUAGCUUCUGGUCUUGUCCCAGUUUAUUUAGGUCAUCUAUGCUUAGCUUCUCUUCUGAGUCUGUGAUAGCUGGUUUCUUCCUUCCUCUAGGCUUCUCAAGCUCUGAAAGAUCAGAGUCGUCCCUUUUGUCAGUUUUCUUCCCUGGUAAUGGUGAACUCAGUGUGAAGUCUUCAUUCUCACUGUGGUCCAUCUCAGUACUAUCAAGCCUAGAAUCAAUAAACAUUUGUUCUCAUUAUUAUAAUAUAGCAGGUAAUCAUUUAAUACAUAUAUUA